rnacentral:rRNA from 1 species
AAAAGUACUUUGAAAAGAGAGUGCAAGAGAACGUGAAACCGGUGUAAUGGAAGCAGAUGGAGUUGACGUAUCUGGUGCGUAUUCAGUUGUUGGUAGUUGCAAUUGCUGUAUUUGUUAUUCCGCAAGGUUGACGGUAUGGUUUGUUGUAAUUGCUGGCGAUGCAUUUACGUACGGAGUGCGCCGAGUUGUGUGGUGGUGCUGAUCUAAGCGAGUUGGGAGGACAUGGCUUCGGCUGUGAAACCUUGGCUUGUGGAGGUUAGAUGCUGCUGCAUAGCUUUGUAGAGGUGUGGGUUUUCGUGAAUGCGGAUUUCGGGUUGCUUGGCUUGUUUAGUACGCAUGCGUGCUGCGCUUGUUGAGUGGCUCGUUGCCUGUAUUUGCUCUGCAUCCUUCUCGGUGUAUAGUCAAUGACCCAUUUGACCCGUCUUGAAACACGGACCAAGGAGUUUAUGGUAUACGCGAGUCAUUGGGCUUUGAAACCCAUAGGCGAAAUGAAAGUGAGAUCUUAUUGGUUUGAAUGCGAUCGGUUGUUGUUUCGACGGCGGCCGAGCAGCAUUGCCCCGUUUCGAGGACUUGUCCUGUUGCGGAGGUUGAGCGUAUGCUAUGAGACCCGAAAGAUGGUGAACUAUGCCUGAACAGGAUGAAGCCAGAGGAAACUCUGGUGGAAGUCCGAAGCGGUUCUGACGUGCAAAUCGAUCGUCUGAUUUUGGUAUAGGGGCGCAAGACUAAUCGAACCA